CUGUACAUGUGGGACAUAAGAUUUGUAUGUACCCAACCCCACACACGUGCAUAGUUUGUACUUGUUGUUCAGAUCUGGCAGGAAAUAAAAAUAUCUCUCUCUGGAUACCCUUCCUUCUUCUCCAGCGAUGACCAUGAGCUUCUCCUGGACGGACGGCUAUGAAAGAUUUUUCUUGAUGAUUGUGUGCUAGAGACAUCUUCCAGACCUUAUAUGUAGCUUGGGGCUAUUUCCCGUUCAGAUCAGAGGAUGAACUCUUAAUCUUGCCAUGUCUCCUGAAGAUCUUUCUUAUUUGAUGUAUAUUUUCAUUCCAGACAUUAUUUACAUUUAUAAGCAGUUGUUCAUUCUUUAGACAGUUGUGUUUAGAGUCCUUGUACGAUGACUUCCGGAUUUUGGGGUUGUAAUAGUUAGAUUUCCGCACUUUAAUUUAUUUAUGGCAUGACUAGACGGGUUUAUGAUUUAA